AGGAGGGUUCCGUUUGUUGGUAUGACGGGUUGAGCUGUAAACUCAGUAGCAUACGCUGUCGAAGGUUCGAUUCCUUUCCCUCCUA
rnacentral:tRNA from 1 species